AAACCAACAGGGAUUGUCUCAGUAACGGCGAGUGAAGCGACAAAAGCUCAAAUUUGAAAUCUGGCGCCUUCGGUGUCCGAGUUGUAAUUUGAAGAAGGUAACUUUGGUUUUGGCUCUUGUCUAUGUUCCUUGGAACAGGACGUCACAGAGGGUGAGAAUCCCGUGCGAUGAGAUGCCCAAUUCCAUGUAAAGUGCUUUCGAAGAGUCGAGUUGUUUGGGAAUGCAGCUCUAAGUGGGUGGUAAAUUCCAUCUAAAGCUAAAUAUUGGCGAGAGACCGAUAGCGAACAAGUACAGUGAUGGAAAGAUGAAAAGAACUUUGAAAAGAGAGUGAAAAAGUACGUGAAAUUGUUGAAAGGGAAGGGCUUGAGAUCAGACUUGGUAUUUUGUAUGUCUUGCUUUCGGGUAGGGCCUCUGCAGUUUAUCGGGCCAGCAUCAGUUUGGAUGGUAGGAUAAUGACAUUGGAACGUAGCACUGCUUCGGUGGUGUGUUAUAGACUUUGUUGAUACUGCCUGUCUAGACUGAGGACUGCGUCUUUUGACUAGGAUGCUGGCAUAAUGAUCCUAAGCCACCC
rnacentral:rRNA from 1 species